rnacentral:misc_RNA from 1 species
UCACCCCUCAAGCCCCGUGCUUGGUGUUGGGCGACGUCCCUCUAAGGGACGCGCCUCGAAACGCUCGGCGGCGUGGCACCGGCUUUAAGCGUAGCAGAAUCUUUCGCUUUGAAAGUCGGGGCCCCGUCUGCCGGAAGACCUACUCGUAA